GUGCUCUCCCGACUAUAAUAUAAUAACCUGAAUAAAGUCAGUUUGCUUACCGGCUUAGGUCUUUGUCUCUGACAAUUUGCCUCUGUGACGUGGAUGGGACUGGAAGUCCAUUUGGAGCCCUGUCUUCUCCACCUAGGGAGAGAGACCCCAUGAGCUCGUCAAGCUCCUUCUGUGACUGAUCAGAGAUCCCACCGUGAGUCCAGCUCCUGGUCCCAUGCUCUGGAUAUAUCGGUCCCUGGCAGCGUGAGUGCCUCUGUGUUCACUGUCCCAUUUGAGAAUUCUAAGUAGAAUUCUGAACAGGCUGGAGCAGAUUGCCCACCCCAAGGGACAGAUGUUGGCUGGUACUGUUGGUAUUCAUGGAAGAUUCCUUCUGACACUCCCUCCUUCUUUGUAAUUGCCAUGAACUGGAGCACUGGGCCAAUAUAAAUCAUCCAAGGGUGAACACGCUGCACAUGGACGGCUCCUCUUUGUUUUUGAAGGGAUUCCAUCUCUAUUUUGCCAUGUGCUCCUUCACCCCACUCCCCACCCCCGUCUUUCAUUUCUUUCUCUGGAAAAGAUACUUCAACUCACAGGACUGCGAUGUUGAAACGGACACCCAAGAGCAUCACAGAUGGGCCAGGCCUGGACCUCUCGGGACAACAUUCCUCACGACUUUUAGAUAGAAGAGAUUAGAGAUUUGGGACUGGUGGCAACUGGUAACGUUUUCAGUGUUUGGUAAACAGCCAGGGUCCGGAGCUCUGGGAACAGCCUGAUUUAGCUCUUUGUUUAAGUUUUGUGUUAGAGGCUCCCAAGAAGCUGAUGCAGGGGAAAGAAAUUAACAACCAUGGCUCAUUCACAGCCAGGCAGCCAAAUGGACAGCUCUAUAAGACUCAAGCCGACAGCGGAGAGAGUGCAACCAAACAGCCUUGGCCCAGCUUUCAGAGGAGAACGUUAUUCACCCCAACUGCUCUGCAUCUGCCUGGAUGUCUGCCAAGAUCUGUGAGCAUUACAGCGUUGGUAUGCUUUGGGUGAGGCCUGUGGCUAUGGCAACAAGUUGGGAGCAACCCGGUCCCUGGGAAUGAGAACAGUGUCUAAAAUCAGGCAGGCGAGGGGCAGGGAGGAGAGGUAAAGGUUGGACUUGCCUGAAGAUGGAGCCGUUUUAUUGUUGUGGGUAAAGCUGCUACCAUUAGGGGCUGUUUACAGAGUGGGUGCAGCUCAAGCUGGGAGCAUGUUAGACUCAGCGACUACGAUCAACCUAUUGACUUGUUCCCAUGAGACAGAGUAAAUUAACUGUUGCAGUACUGGUCAUGUACCACCAACCUCCUGUGAACCAGCCCUCAGUGAAACAUUUAUGUGAAAGGCCAUGGUGUUCCCAUAAGAGGGUGCAUGUUCUCUCCCUUGACUAACUCUUCAGUAUGCCUCAUUCUCACGCGCUGGUGUGCAGGAAGGAGUCCAACAUGCCCCAUUGACAGUCAUGCCCUGUAUGUGGAAAGUCUUCAGGU
rnacentral:lncRNA from 1 species